rnacentral:lncRNA from 1 species
CACAGUUGAAACACUGAUUUAACGAUGUAAACACCUUAUUAAAAUGUACACAAUUUAAAAAAAUUGCUAUUAUGACAACAUCCUUAAAUGUUUUCUCUCUUGUCAUGUAAGUGCACAAUAACCAGAUACAUUAUUUUAAAUCUAUCAUAAAUGAAAUCUUAGCUACUUGUUCUGCAGAGAACUCAUUUGACCCUGUAAAAAUAGCCCAUAAGCUCAGGGAACUGGGUGACGAUUAUGAUGAGAAAGUGAUCCAGCCGCUGAUGAAGAAUGUACAGGGAGCUGCAGCCGAUCAGGUGGUGACUGUGUUUAGUGAUAGCGUGGACAGCUUGUGUAAGAUGUGGGUUGUGGAAAGAGCAGAAGUGGCCUCAGAGAAGCAGCUCCUCAAGGCUGCCAUCACACUGGGACUCUUUAUGAAGAAAAACUGCCCUGCCAUGACGAAUGUAGUUGAGGUCGCUAUGAUGGGAUUCGUAAACAACCGUCUAACAAACUGGAUUGCAGAGCAAGGGGGCUGGGUCUCUGUCUCUGUGAGCAGCAUGUGUUGAGAUUGGAGCUCAUUGUCUCAUUCUCUGAGAGGCCCUCAAUCAUUUCUCUAAAGUUUGAUUUGUAAUACAGGAUAAACUGUAAAUGGUGCUCUUUUCAGACAAUCACAGCCAGAAAAAUGGAGAAUUAAAUUUUUUACCAUUUUCUUACUCUAAUACAGAUAAUUGAAUGUUUAAAUUGAUGCCGGAAUUCUCAACCAACGUUUUUUUUUUUUUUUUUUUUAAUAAUAGACUUGUGUGUCUUAUGAUGUUGUCAAAUUCUGUAGUCAUAUUUCUUUACAUCACUGAUGUAACUCACAAGUGUGUGUUUUAAAUCCUUUGAAAAUGAAGCACUUUGUACAAAUGUAUCCGUCUCAUAGGGACACGUGUGCUGUAAUAAACAUUAGUGAAAUGUUAGUCUUCACAAGAGAUAAAAUAAAUAUGGGGUGGACAUAUUGAGCAAUUUUAUGGUUUUAUUCUAUCCUAGUAACAAUAAGGCAAUAACAAUUACUCGCUAAUGACUUCACUAAUAAUGACUGGGCCAUUCAACAUAAGCAUGCUUAUUUUUACUUGAAUAAAAAUUAGUUGAUGUGACUUUUUCUUAGUGAUGAACUCUUAUUAUAAUGCGCUUUUUCAAACCUUCACAAGAGGGCACCACAAUACCGAGUUACCAUCUGGUGACUGCUGUUCACACAGAGUGAUUCUCAACUGCAAUUUGUGGAAAAAGAAUAGCAUUUAUAUCAUUUAGGCCAAAUAAAAC